AUCGUUAACCGGUCGUUAGUCUUUCGAGAUCAGUCUAGCUGUGCACUAUCCGCUUCUCCUUUGACCACGGAUGUACUGGCACUGAGAUGAGGUGGAUAGCGGAAGGCCGGUUUGCCCCGGCCUUUUUGUUU
rnacentral:sRNA from 1 species